CAGCCGCCACGGGAAUACAGAGGGUGCGAGCGUUAAUCGGAUUUACUGGGCGUAAAGCGUGCGUAGGCGGCUUUUUAAGUCGGAUGUGAAAUCCCUGAGCUUAACUUAGGAAUUGCAUUCGAUACUGGGAAGCUAGAGUAUGGGAGAGGAUGGUAGAAUUCCAGGUGUAGCGGUGAAAUGCGUAGAGAUCUGGAGGAAUACCGAUGGCGAAGGCAGCCAUCUGGCCUAAUACUGACGCUGAGGUACGAAAGCAUGGGGAGCAAACAGGAUUAGAGACCCCUGUAGUCCCUGUCUCUUAUAC
rnacentral:rRNA from 1 species